GACAGUGGCGCAAUGGUGAGUAACACGUGAGUAAUCUGCCCCGAAGUCCGGGAUAGCCCAUGGAAACGUGGAUUAUUACCGGAUGUGGCUGUAUGAACUGCGGUUUUAACAGUUAAAGAUUCAUUGCUUCGGGAUGAGCUCGCGGUCCAUCAGCUUGUUGGUGAGGUAAUGGCUCACCAAAGCGACGACGGAUAGCUGGUCUGAGAGGAUGACCAGUCACACUGGGACUGAGACACUGCCCAGACUCCUACGGGAGGCUGCAGUCGAGAAUCUUCCGCAAUGGGCGCAAGCCUGACGGAGCAAUGCUGCGUGCCGGAUGAAGGCCUUCGGGUCGUAAACGGCUGUCACUCGGGACGAAUUUUGACGGUACCGAGAGAGGAAGCCACGGCUAACUACGUGCCAGCAGCCGCGGUAAUACGUAGGUGGCGAGCGUUAUUCGGAAUUAUUGGGCCUAGAGGGUUCGUAGGGGGUAAUGUAAGUCCGGUGUGAAAUCUCGAGGCUCAACCUCGAAACUGCAUUGGAAACUGCGUUACUUGAGUGUCAGAGAGGAAAGCGGAAUUCCUGGUGUAGCGGUGGAAUGCGUAGAUAUCAGGAAGAACACCGACGGCGAAGGCAGCUUUCUGGCUGACAACUGACCCUGAUGAACGAAAGCUAGGGUAGCGAACCAGGAUUAGAUACCCUGGUAGUCCUAGCUGUAAACGUUGUGCCACUGGAUGUGGGCGGAUCUGGUCCCGUCUGUGUCU
rnacentral:rRNA from 1 species